rnacentral:rRNA from 1 species
GACGAACGCUGGCGGCGUGCUUAACACAUGCAAGUCGAACGCUGAAGCUCAGCUUUUGUUGGGUGGAUGAGUGGCGAACGGGUGAGUAACACGUGAGUAACCUGCCUCCUUCUUUGGGAUAACGCCCGGAAACGGGUGCUAAUACUGGAUAUUCACUGGUCUUCGCAUGGGGGUUGGUGGAAAGGGUUUUUCUGGUGGGGGAUGUGCUCGCGGCCUAUCAGCUUGUUGGUGGGGUGAUGGCCUACCAAGGCUUUGACGGGUAGCCGGCCUGAGAGGGUGACCGGUCACAUUGGGACUGAGAUACGGCCCAGACUCCUACGGGAGGCAGCAGUGGGGAAUAUUGCACAAUGGGCGCAAGCCUGAUGCAGCGACGCCGCGUGAGGGAUGGAGGCCUUCGGGUUGUGAACCUCUUUCGCUCAUGGUCAAGCCGCAACAAUGGUUGUGGUGAGGGUAGUGGGUAAAGAAGCGCCGGCUAACUACGUG